rnacentral:rRNA from 1 species
UACGUAGGGUCCGAGCGUUGUCCGGAAUUACUGGGCGUAAAGAGCUCGUAGGUGGUUUGUCGCGUUGUCCGUGAAAACUCACAGCUCAACUGUGGGCGUGCGGGCGAUACGGGCAGACUGGAGUACUGCAGGGGAGACUGGAAUUCCUGGUGUAGCGGUGGAAUGCGCAGAUAUCAGGAGGAACACCGGUGGCGAAGGCGGAUCUCUGGGCCUUGCCUGACGCUGAGGCGCGAAAGCUAGGGGAGCGAACAGG